UCUGGGAUUAGAUACCCCACUAUAACCUUCAUUCUCCACAGGGAAAUACGGUCCGGAAGACUAAAACCCAAAGAACUUGGCGGCGCUCCACCCCUAACCAGAGGAGUUUGUACCAUAAACGAUAAUCCGCGAAAAACCUUACCCCUUUUAGCCAAUCAGUUUGUAUACCAUCGUUGUCCGUUAACCUUAAAAGAGUAGUUAACAGAAAGUGUUUCUCAACACCUUACUUCAGAUCAAGGUGCAGCUAAUAAAGGAGGAGAGUAUGAACUACAAGAGUUUUAACAAAAGUGGAAAAGUCAGGAAAAGGACUAGAAAAAGAGGAUUUGGAAGUAAUUUUUAUAAUAAUGUAAAAAUGAACUAGUAACUGGAGUGUGCACACACCGCCCGUCACCCUCCUCAA
rnacentral:rRNA from 1 species